GACGAACCGUGCGAACGUUAUUCGGAAUCACUGGGCUUAAAGGGCGCGUAGGCGGGCCAGCAAGUCAGGGGUGAAAGCCCACGGCUCAACCGUGGAAGUGCCUCUGAUACUGCGGGCCUCGAGGGAGGUAGGGGCGUGCGGAACUUCCGGUGGAGCGGUGAAAUGCGUAGAUAUCGGAAGGAACACCGGUGGCGAAAGCGGCGCGCUGGACCUCUUCUGACGCUGAGGCGCGAAAGCCAGGGGAGCAAACGGG
rnacentral:rRNA from 1 species